GAUGAACGCUAGCGGCAGGCUUAAUACAUGCAAGUCGAGGGGCAGCAUGGGUAGCAAUACCUGAUGGCGACCGGCAAACGGGUGCGGAACACGUACGCAACUUUCCCAGAACUGGUGAAUAGCCCUCCGCAAGGAGGAUUAAUACACCGUAAGAUAGAGAUGUGGCAUCACAUUUUUAUUAUAGCUCCGGCGGCUAUGGAUGGGCGUGCGGCUGAUUAGGUAGUUGGUUGAGGUAACGGCUCACCAAGCCUGCGAUCAGUAACUGGUGUGAGAGCACGACCAGUCACACGGGCACUGAGACACGGGCCCGACUCCUACGGGAGGCAGCAGUAAGGAAUAUUGGUCAAUGGACGCAAGUCUGAACCAGCCAUGCCGCGUGAAGGAUGAAGGUCCUCUGGAUUGUAAACUUCUUUUACAGGGGAAGAAACCCGGAAAUUCUUUUUCGGUUGACGGUACCCUGGGAAUAAGCACCGGCUAACUCCGUGCCAGCCGCCGCAGUAAAAC
rnacentral:rRNA from 1 species